AACCUAGCACACCUGCGGUGUGUACCUGCGGAAGGAUCAUUACCAAUUAUAUAUGUUAGUUUGCCUGUGGCUUCGGUCACUGGUAUUAACUACUAUGUAAACGUUGAACUAGAUCAAUUGGUGUGGAUUGCUUGGGAAUGGACGAAGCGACAAGCCUCUUCCGGACAGGCAAGCCCCACACUGAUAACCUUUUUCAUAUCAUUUACUCGUAUAUACUACCACAACAAAAAAAACAAAAGC
rnacentral:misc_RNA from 1 species